rnacentral:rRNA from 1 species
GACGAACGCUGGCGGCGUGCUUAACACAUGCAAGUCGAACGGAAAGGCCCUGCUUUUGUGGGGUGCUCGAGUGGCGAACGGGUGAGUAACACGUGAGUAACCUGCCCUUGACUUUGGGAUAACUUCAGGAAACUGGGGCUAAUACCGGAUAGGAGCUCCUGCUGCAUGGUGGGGGUUGGAAAGUUUCGGCGGUUGGGGAUGGACUCGCGGCCUAUCAGCUUGUUGGUGGGGUAGUGGCUUACCAAGGCUUUGACGGGUAGCCGGCCUGAGCGGGUGACCGGCCACAUUGGGACUGAGAUACGGCCCAGACUCCUACGGGAGGCAGCAGUGGGGAAUAUUGCACAAUGGGCGGAAGCCUGAUGCAGCAACGCCGCGUGCGGGAUGACGGCCUUCGGGUUGUAAACCGCUUUCGCCUGUGACGAAGCGUGAGUGACGGUAAUGGGUAAAGAAGCACCGGCUAACUACGUG